AGUGAACGCUGGCGGUAGGCCUAACACAUGCCAGUCGAACGGCAGCACAGUAAGAGCUUGCUCUUACGGGUGGCGAGUGGCGGACGGGUGAGGAAUACAUCGGAAUCUACUUUUUCGUGGGGGAUAACGUAGGGAAACUUACGCUAAUACCGCAUACGACCUACGGGUGAAAGCAGGGGAUCUUCGGACCUUGCGCGAUUGAAUGAGCCGAGGUCGGAUUAGCUAGUUGGCGGGGUAAAGGCCCACCAAGGCGACGAUCCGUAGCUGGUCUGAGAGGAUGAUCAGCCACACUGGAACUGAGACACGGUCCAGACUCCUACGGGAGGCAGCAGUGGGGAAUAUUGGACAAUGGGCGCAAGCCUGAUCCAGCCAUACCGCGUGGGUGAAGAAGGCCUUCGGGUUGUAAAGCCCUUUUGUUGGGAAAGAAAAGCAGCAGGUUAAUACCCCGCUGUUCUGACGGUACCCAAAGAAUAAGCACCGGCUAACUUCGUG
rnacentral:rRNA from 1 species